rnacentral:lncRNA from 1 species
GGAACCAUGGAGUUAGUUUUCACCCCACGUUGUUUUGGGGUGUUUCAGGUUCUACGUGAGCGGCGCGGCGGCGGGAGGCAAGGGCGUAGCUUCGUAGAUAGCGCCCUACCACAGAGACCGAGGUAGCAGUACCAUGAGACAGUUUAGCUUAGGGGACUAGAGAACAGUGAACUAAAAUGUAAUAAUGUGAUUGUAUUUGGAAGUCAACGAAUGUAAAAGAAAAACUGUGAUGUAAAAUGUUGUAAGAAAUGUAUGCUUGUAAUAGCAGUUAGUUUUAUGUUAUUGAUACUUCCUUAUGCAAUCUUGAUUGAUAUUAGUUCUUGGUUGGAACAUUUGUAUAUUGUAUUGAUUGCGACGCUUAGGACGUGUUAAGGAUUUUAUAUGUUGGCGGAUUUCGUAAAGUUGAAUGGAGUCUUGAAGAGUUGAUCACGGAGGUUUGAAGAAAAGAUUCAAAUUGAAGAACAAAGACUCAUUCGGAAAGCUCGGCACCUCAGGUAUGAAGAAUAGAU